UACGUAGGUGGCAAGCGUUGUCCGGAUUUACUGGGCGUAAAGAGCGCGCAGGCGGUCGUUCAAGUCGCGUGUGAAAGCCCCCGGCUCAACUGGGAAGGGUCACGCGAUACUGAUCGACUCGAAGGCAGGAGAGGGUAGUGGAAUUCCCGGUGUAGUGGUGAAAUGCGUAGAUAUCAGGAGGAACACCGGUGGCGAAAGCGCGAGACUGGGCCAUAACUGACGCUGAGGAACGGAAGCUAGGGGAGCGUAAGGG
rnacentral:rRNA from 1 species